rnacentral:rRNA from 1 species
GACGAACGCUGGCGGCGUGCCUAAUACAUGCAAGUCGAGCGAAGCGGCGGAUGGGUGAGUAAUGCGUGGGUAACCUGCCCUUAAGUCUGGGAUACCAUUUGGAAAUAGUUGCUAAUACCGGAUACUAAAGGAUGGACCUGCGAUUCAUUAGCUAGUUGGUAAGGUAACGGCUUACCAAGGAGAUGAUGCAUAGCCGAGUUGAGAGGCUGAUCGGCCACACUGGGACUGAGACACGGCCCAAACUCCGACGGGAGGCAGCAGUAGGGAAGCUUCCACAAUGGACGAAAGUCUGAUGGAGCAACGCCGCGUGAGUGAAGAAGGUUUUCGGAUCGUAAAACUCUGUUGUUAGAGAAGCGGUAUUCAACCAGAAAGUCACGGCUAACUACGUGCCAGCAGCCGCGGUAAUUC